rnacentral:rRNA from 1 species
UACGUAGGGACCAAGCGUUGUUCGGAUUUACUGGGCGUAAAGGGCGCGUAGGCGGCGUGACAAGUCACUUGUGAAAGCUCCUGGCUCAACUGGGAGAGGUUGACCAAGACUGCAGAACUUGAGUGGAGAAGAGGUAAACGGAAUUCCGCGUGUAGUGGUGAAAUGCGUAGAGAUGCGGAAGAACACCAGUGGCGAAGGCGGUUUACUGGUCUCCAACUGACACUGAGCCGCGAAAGCAUGGGUAGCGAACGGG